AGACUGUCAGUAUUGCAAGCCCUAUAUGAAGGCUAUGCUUUCAUUGUCGAUGUAUAUACCCCUAGACAACCUUGCUUUAUAUACAAAAUUUAACUAUCCAUUAAACCUUUAAAAGCUUAUUAAUAUUAUAUCUGUGUGGUACACAAAGAGGGGGUGUGAGUUCGGUAAUCCCGACCUGCAUAUGGAAUAUGCUUCCUCCUUGUUCACUUUUGUUCCUUGUUGGUCUGUGACUGGCCCCUUUUGACCCCAAAUGAAUGUCUUGGGAAGAUUCAUGAGAAAGAUACAGCAGGUUGUUUUGAUAGAAAGAAGGAAAAGGUAUGUUGUAUCAGUCACAAGGACUGUGAUCCUAAGCAGGCGAGACAAAGAAAUUUGGGAGGUGAUAGGAGAUUGAAUCAGAAAAGUUUUAAAGGCAAAGGUAGAGGAUUUGGUCAAAGUUUCUAACUUUUGUAGAGGUGGUAACUUCAGCACUGUUUUAAUUGUGGAUAGCAGGGAUUCACCCCAAGGUGCUUGUGGUGAACCCGGUUCUCCUGGUCAAGCUGGCCCCACUGGUACUGAUGAUGUCCCUGGCUUCCCUGGUGCUCCUGGACCUCAGGGCCCCAAAGGUUCCCCUGGACCUAAGGGUAACAAUGGUGAACCUGGUGCUCAAGGAGACAAAGGAGAACCCGGUGCUAGGGGAGAACCUGGCCCAGCUGGCAUUCAAGGACUCCCACUCUGGCAGGUUCCUCAAUACCAACCACAACUUUCAAGCUAUACCCACACCCAACAACCUCAGCCUAAUACACAGAUGGUUCAUGUUUUUAAUACUUUAUAUAUAGUUUUGAUAGAUAAAACAGUAUUAAUGCUGGCUCUUAGAGGAUGUACAAGCUGAAGUUGGGACCUAGACAUUGUUUGCAUAGGCUGCGCAAUGUGAAAUAACUAAAAUAAAAUAGGAUAAUAAGUAUGCUUAGUCAAUAUGUAACGUGGUAUCCUAGAGGCAUCUGCAAUAAAAUAAGUGUGUUUCCAAGACCUGACAAGUGAGGGCAACUUAAUAUAACAUAUGUCUACAGUUUGCUGUCCCUUCCUUAUCAGAGGCCACUGGUUUCCAAAGAUGUUAUCAGGGUCCACAAAACUGACAGACUUAAGCAUUCCAAUUUUAUUAAAGUAAUUAAUUGAGAUUAUCAAAUCAAGGUUCAAGUUUAGGAACAAAAGUUUUAUUGGGAAUGUAUAUGCAAAUGAUAGUGUUUUAAUAUUCAUCCUAACAAGCAUUUCUAUAGAGUGAGUGCUACUCUCAUCCCUACAAGGCAUUCUAAAGGGAAAUUAUGUAUUCAAAUUUUAUAAAGGACAAAUUCAAUGAAUUAUAAGCAAAACUGAGAGAAGUACAUGUUACACUAGUUAAGAGUUUAACUUUAGUCUCUGAUUUAAGUUUUAGCCUAGGUAAUUAAUUAAUGAUGUAUUGAUCCUUGUGUUUGUAUGAUUGUAGAGACCGUCCUGGAGUGUUUGUGCCGCCUGAUUUCUGGGACUACACACCAAUCUCUCUGGCUGACCAUGCAAUAAGUAUUUUGCAAUUACAUCUGUUUGGUCAUUAUCCAUGCAGGCCGAAGAAACUGAGAUACUUAUUUAUGAGGACAUAAACUUUGCACGCAAGAACCUGGAAAGUCCUGAAGGUGCAGUGCUGUCUAAUACCGCUGGUUCUGUAAUAACCCUUUCAACCAUUGGGGUGUUGCACAGAGCUUUGUGGUGAAAAUCCAGCAAACAAAAGAAGAACUAAGAACUAUAUGGAAGCUGACAUUGUCUUGUUGUCAGCCAUAUUGCUACCCUUAGCCAUUUUAUGGAACAAAAUGUCUGGUGUCUAAACUGAUUUCUUUAUACUCUGUGAAAUACUUAUUCUAUUUUUCUGAACUAUGCUGAACUAUUGAACUAUUUUUAUUUUUAUUUUUACUUUUGUAGAGUUAGCUGGAGAGAGAGAGGAAGUAUUAGCUGACCCAGAGUUAGCUGUACUAUGUGUGUUUUUGAUAUAUGUUGAGUGUGCCAAGGAUGGAUUGCCAUGUUUUGAGGAACUGCGUGAGGAUAUGACUGGUUUUGACUGGACCUUUGGAAU